UACAGAGGGUGCGAGCGUUGUCCGGAAUUACUGGGCGUAAAGGGCGCGUAGGCGGCCUGAUAAGUAGGGGGUGAAAUUCCGUGGCUCAACCACGGAACUGCCUUCUAGACUGCCAGGCUUGAGCACGGUAGAGGCAGAUGGAAUUCCCGGUGUAGCGGUGGAAUGCGUAGAGAUCGGGAAGAACACCAGUGGCGAAGGCGGUCUGCUGGGCCGUACCUGACACUGAACCGCGACAGCAUGGGGAGCAAACAGG
rnacentral:rRNA from 1 species